CCUAAAUCUAAAUCUAUAUGCCUUUUUGUUUCGCUAGAUUUAUCAUCUGUAGCGCUCUGUUUCUUUGGAGUCGCCAUCCUGUUCUGUUCUGUAGUACGGAAUCCCUCCGUCUAUAAAGGAGCACUUCACAAAUAUGUAGUCAAAAAUAUGAUGUAUUAACUACGGCUGUCCCAUAAUAAUGAUACUAUUAGUAACUCGUCCCGAUUAGCAUGAUCAU
rnacentral:lncRNA from 1 species